rnacentral:lncRNA from 1 species
GGUUAUGACAAUAAUCAAAUUUGGUGUAUGGUUUUCCACACUAUUUGCAAGACAACAAUGGAUUGUGUACUCUUGAUUUAAUGGGAGGAAGAAGAGCUUGUCUUGCACUAAUGUGGGAAUCAUAACCCCACUUAAUAACAAAUGAGUUACAUAACCCAAGAGUCUUGAAAGAGUUACAUAACUCAAGAGUCACAAGUAUGUAACCAUGGUUACAUAUGUAACCUUAGUUAGCCCAUCAUUAACUAAGGUUACCCUUUUGGGUAUCUACACAUUAGUCCUACACUUUAGUAUGACANNNN